rnacentral:rRNA from 1 species
GACGAACGCUGGCGGCGUGCCUAAUACAUGCAAGUAGAACGCUGAAGAGAGGAGCUUACUCUUCUUGGAUGAGUCGCGAACGGGUGAGUAACGCGUAGGUAACCUGCCUUGUAGCGGGGGAUAACUAUUGGAAACGAUAGCUAAUACCGCAUAACAAUGGAUGACACAUGUCAUUUAUGUGAAAGGGGCAAUUGCUCCACUACAAGAUGGACCUGCGUUGUAUUAGCGAGUAGGUGAGGUAAUGGCUCACCUAGGCGACGAUACAUAGCCGACCUGAGAGGGCGGACAGCCAACCUGGGACUGGUACACGGCCCAGACUCCUCAGGGGGGCAGCAGUGGGGGAUCUUCGGCCAUCGGCGCACACCUCACCGGUCUACUCCGCGUGAGUGAAGAAAGUUUUCGGAUCGUCAAGCUCUGUUGUCAGUCAAGAACGGGUGUGAGAGUGGAAAAUUCACACUGUGACGGUAGCUGACCAGAAAGCGACGGCUAACUACGUG